rnacentral:lncRNA from 1 species
CGCCAGCGAAAAGAUGUUUGAAUUUAUAUAAUAUCAAUAUUGAAAGCGUUUAAUUAUUUGAAUUUAUUUCCCUUCAUUUAUUUAGGACACCGUAUAGAAUGACAUACGAUAUUUUUGUUAUGCAAAUUAAGUCCACUUAGUGAAGUUCGGUGCAUAGGUGCGUUGACGUGUCACUCCAUUUUUGAAAGGUUCAGGAGUCAGACGCCAGUAUCGGCCUCCGCAGUUUGGGGGAAACUUUCUGUUGUUUAAUGUGAUUUAAACGUGGUUUUAUGUCCCGCCAGAAAAGAAUCGAAUAAAAUAUACGUUUAACGACGUUAUAUAUCGGUACGGCGGGAUGUGACGGUUUGUGUUCCUUCUUUCGACUAUCCAC